GAUGAACGCUGGCGGCGUGCUUAACACAUGCAAGUCGAACGGAAAGGCUCCUGCUUGCAGGGGUACUCGAGUGGCGAACGGGUGAGUAACACGUGGGUGAUCUGCCCUGCACUUCGGGAUAAGCUUGGGAAACUGGGUCUAAUACCGGAUAGGACCGCAUUUUGGAUGGUGUGGUGGAAAGUUUUUUCGGUGUGGGAUGAGCUCGCGGCCUAUCAGCUUGUUGGUGGGGUAAUGGCCUACCAAGGCGUCGACGGGUAGCCGGCCUGAGAGGGUGUACGGCCACAUUGGGACUGAGAUACGGCCCAGACUCCUACGGGAGGCAGCAGUGGGGAAUAUUGCACAAUGGGCGCAAGCCUGAUGCAGCGACGCCGCGUGGGGGAUGACGGCCUUCGGGUUGUAAACUCCUUUCGCUAGGGACGAGGAGUAAUUGACGGUACCUGGAGAAGAAGCACCGGCUAACUACGUG
rnacentral:rRNA from 1 species